GGCUGACUUCCUCCAUCCUCAUCCUCUUUGGAAAAACCAAGACUUCUUCAUUCACCUGCCUUUCAAGUUAAAUGAAGAUGUUAAUCCCACCUAAGCCUUACACCUAGGAAUGACUCCCUCUGACCUAGCCUUGGCCCACGAAGAAUGUAAACAACUGCUUUAAUAAGACCUGAUUGAGCCCACAAGCUCACCCUAGGCUUGCCAAGCCUUUUAUGUUGAAAAACGAUCAGAAAGGCUUCGAAACAAAAAAAGGCUAGUCAUUGACUAUAAACCCGUUAACCACUUCCUUCAAGA
rnacentral:misc_RNA from 1 species